AAAUUUGUUCAGAGUCCCAUGCAUGGUGGAGGUACCAAAUUGAAUGAAGGUGAGAAAACUAAUCAAAAACCAAGGAAAUCAAGACCUGUGAAUUCAGCAGACGUUGAAACUCCUCGAGGACCAGUAGGACAGGUAGUGAGAGUUGCAAUCAUGAUAGGUUUUGCAACACUUGUUGUCUUUACUAGACAAAGAAACAGCAGCUGAAUAAACCAGUGUUGCCAUCUGCUGUCAUCGUCCAAGACUUGGGAAGUAGAAGUAUUUGGAGUCAUGAAAUGCUAUAAUUUUUUUUUGAAUUCUUUUGGGUUGAAUGGAAUUAUCUUUGGAUGAGCAAUCCCUUCUAACCACAAGUGUAAAUUCUUUUCAUUUUAAUCAUUAAUCCGGAUGUAAAAUACUCUAAAUACAGUUAUCAUCUUCAUAUAAUAAUAUUCUUUGCAUUCUAAA